rnacentral:rRNA from 1 species
UGAGGAAUAUUGGGCAAUGGACGCAAGUCUGACCCAGCCAUGCCGCGUGGAGGAUGAAGGCCCUCUGGGUUGUAAACUUCUUUUAUUGGGGAAGAAACCUCCGAUUUCUAUUGGAGCCGACGGUACCCGAUGAAUAAGCACCGGCUAACUCCGUGCCAGCAGCCGCGGUAAUACGGAGGGUGCAAGCGUUAUCCGGAUUCACUGGGUUUAAAGGGUGUGUAGGCGGGCCGUUAAGUCAGUGGUGAAAUCCCAGAGCUCAACUCUGGAACUGCCAUUGAUACUAUCGGUCUUGAAUAUCGUUGAGGUGGGCGGAAUACAUCAUGUAGCGGUGAAAUGCUUAGAUAUGAUGUAGAACACCGAUUGCGAAGGCAGCUCACUAAACGAUCAUUGACGCUGAGGC